rnacentral:rRNA from 1 species
CGCAGCCGCGGUAAUUCCAGCUCCAAUAGCGUAUAUUAAAGUUGUUGCAGUUAAAAGCUCGUAGUUGAAUUUCGGGGUUAGUAGGUUGGUCAUGCCUCUGGUAUGUACUGGUCUCACUGAUUCCUCCUUCCUGAUGAGCCGUAAUGCCAUUAAUUUGGCGUUGCGGGGAAUUUGGACUGUUACUUUGAAAAAUUGAGUGUUUAAAGCAAGCUAACGCUUGAAUACAUUAGCAUGGAAUAAUGAAAUAGGACGUUCGAUCCUAUUUUGUUGGUUUCUAGGAUUGACGUAAUGAUUAAUAGGGAUAGUUGGGGGCAUUAGUAU